AUUUUGUUUUCAUUCUCAUCUCAGAAUCAUGUCCUCCAAUCCCAUCUCAGGAGGAAUUGAAUUCUUGGAAGAUGAGGCUGGAAAAGUUCGUCGUCAUUACGUCAACAUGCUAACAGAUGGUCUGCAAAGCACUUCUCAGGUUUCAUUCAGUAUUUCUGUGAAGAAGCCAGGGGAUCAUGAUGUUCUACUGUGAGAAUGACAGAAAGAGCAAACAAGAACACCUGGGUUACACGAGCUGACUUGCUUCUCUUCAAUGGACAGUAUGAACACAGAGAAAAGAAUUCUACAAAAAAGAACAACAGAGAAUAAGACAGAGAUCUUGGAGAACAAGAAUAUGACCACCAAUAGAAGGAUGGGAAGAUAACGGCCAAACGGUAGACGAACACAACAUGGGAUUCCAUUCUUGUCCUGAGAAACUCCCUAGGCAUUGGAGUAUAGAA
rnacentral:lncRNA from 1 species